GACGGGGGCCCGCACAAGCGGAGGAACAUGUGGUUUAACUCGAUGAUACGCGAGGAACCUUACCCGGGCUUGAACUGCAGGAGAAGGAUCUAGAGAUAGUGACGUCCUUCGGGACUCCUGUGGAGGUGCUGCAUGGUUGUCGUCAGCUCGUGCCGUGAGGUGUCGGCUUAAGUGCCAUAACGAGCGCAACCCCUGCCUUUAGUUGCCAUCAGGUUAAGCUGGGCACUCUGGAGGGACUGCCACCGCAAGGUGUGAGGAAGGUUGGGAUGACGUCAAAUCAGCACGGCCCUUACGUCCGGGGCUACACACGUGUUACAAUGGGGCAUACAGCGAGUUGGUGUGUGGCGACGCACAUCUAAUCAUGAAAAUGUCUCGUAGUUCGGAUUGGGGUCUGCAACCCGACCCCAUGAAGCUGGAUUCGCUAGUAAUCGCGCAUCAGCCAUGGCGCGGUGAAUACGUUCCCGGGCCUUGUACACACCGCCCGUCAAGCCAUGAAAGCUGGGGGCGCCUGAAGUCCGUGACCGCGAGGGUCGGCCUAGGGCGAAACCGGUGAUUGGGGCUAAGUCGUAACAAGGUAGGCCGUACCGGAA
rnacentral:rRNA from 1 species